rnacentral:rRNA from 1 species
UUACNNUGUCCCGGAGAGUUUGAACAGUGGCCCUUGAAAGUUUUAACGGGGACCCCUGAAUUUUUAACGGGGAACCCANAAUUUUUUUUGGGGUACCUCCGGGAAACCGGGGCUAAUACCGAAUAAUCUCUUUUGCUUCAUGGUNAAAGACUGAAAGACGGUUUCGGCUGUCGCUAUAGGAUGGGCCCGCGGCGCAUUAGCUAGUUGGUGAGGUAACGGCUCACCAAGGCGACGAUGCGUAGCCGACCUGAGAGGGUGAUCGGCCACACUGGGACUGAGACACGGCCCANACUCCUACGGGAGGCAGCAGUAGGGAAUCUUCCACAAUGGGCGAAAGCCUGAUGGAGCAACGCCGCGUGAGUGAAGAAGGUUUUCGGAUCGUAAAACUCUGUUGUAAGGGAAGAACAAGUACAGUAGUAACUGGCUGUACCUUGACGGUACCUUAUUAGAAAGCCACGGCUAACUACGUGCCANCAGCCGCGGUAAUACGUAGGUGGCAAGCGUUGUCCGGAAUUAUUGGGCGUAAAGCGCGCGCAGGCGGUCCUUUAAUUCUGAUGUGAAACCCCACGGCUCAACCGUGGAGGGUCAUUGGAAACUGGGGGGNACUUGANUGCAAAAAAAAGAAAAGUGGAAAUUCCCAAAGUUGUUANCGGUNAAAAAUG